rnacentral:rRNA from 1 species
UACGUAGGGUGCGAGCGUUAAUCGGAACUACUGGGCGUAAAGCGUGCGCAGGCGGUUCGUUGUGUCUGAUGUGAAAGCCCCGGGCUCAACCUGGGAAUGGCAUUGGAAACUGGCGAGCUAGAGUGUGGCAGAGGGGGGUGGAAUUCCGCGUGUAGCAGUGAAAUGCGUAGAUAUCAGGAGGAAUACCGGUGGCGAAGGCAAUCCCCUGGACCUGUACUGACGCUCAUGCACGAAAGCGUGGGGAGCAAACAGG